rnacentral:rRNA from 1 species
ACGGAGGGUGCGAGCGUUAUUCGGAAUUACUGGGCGUAAAGCGCGUGUAGGCGGUCCCGCAAGUCUGAUGUGAAAGCCCCGGGCUUAACCCGGGAACUGCAUUGGAAACUGUGGGUCUUGAGUACUGGAGAGGAUGGGGGAAUUCCCGGUGUAGCGGUGAAAUUCGUAGAGAUCGGGAGGAAUACCAGUGGCGAAGGCACCUAUCUGGCCGGUAACUGACGCUGAGACGCGAAGGCGUGGGGAGCAAACAG